AGUAACGCGUGNGUAACCUGCCUUUCUAGAGGGGGAGUAACGUUCUGAAAAGAACGCUAAUACGCAUGAGACUACAGAGCUGCAUGGCUCAGUGGUCAAAGGAGCAAUCCGCUGAAAGAUGGACUCGCGUCCGAUUAGAUAGUAGGCGGGGUAACGGCCCACCUAGUCGACGAUCGGUAGCCGGACUGAGAGGUUGAACGGCCACAUUGGGACUGAGACACGGCCCAGACUCCUACGGGAGGCAGCAUG
rnacentral:rRNA from 1 species